AAAAUCAUCACCAUAAGCUGCGUUUUUAUGCUGACUGUAUAGAAAGAGGAAGCAGAGCAAACCUAUCCCAUAUAACAUCUCAGCCUAAGCCCUGUGCCUUGUCUGUGUUGUAGAUGAGGAGACAUGG
ensembl:snoRNA